CAAUUCAUUUAAUUUAUUCGUUAUGAAGUUUACCGCGUUGUAUACGUGAGUAGCGAAAUAUGAAAAAUCUAUGACGAACAGACAUUCAUUGUGUAUCAAAUCAUUGUAGUUUCGAAAUGAUCUGGAAGUCAAGGAAAAUUGUCAUCCUUCCGAUAGGUUGACCGAAGUGUACGACAUCUAGUAUGACAAUAAAUCGUCUAGUAAAAUUGUACAUAUCAAAGUAACGAUCCUGUCGUUAGGAUUACGUUGAUAACAUUUACCGGACAAUGACGUUUUAUUACAAGCAUCGAGAUUUGUACGCAGUUUAUGGCAUGCUACGACGACGUGGCAUGCAGCGUUAUUGAUUUUAGUAAUGCUUAAUACACUGAAUCGACCUAGCAAUAUUGUGGCAAACUUCUACCAGCAACCAAUUACGUAACACCCUGGGAAUGACUGGAAGAACGUAAAGAUUUCUGUUCUGAUAGGAGCGAAAUUAAUGUUCCUCAAUACGUUGUUUCACUCACGUGUAAGUAUCCUUUUUUGUAAUAAAGUUUCCAACAGUUAUUUAAUGUAAAACAUAUGUUACACAAACCAAUGUAAUAAUUAUGCAGUAACGUUUUACUACGCCUUAAAACUUCUUUUCACGAAUGACAAUUGUUAAUUUGCAAGUUCACUGUAGCAUACCUGCACUUUUUGAUCGAAAGCUGCGGGAAUCAGAUUAUUUUGUUAGGGUAUUUAAAGUAACAAUGAGGCUAAAAUAAACAAAUCCUGUUCAUCCAAA